GACGAACGCUGGCGGCGUGCUUAACACAUGCAAGUCGAACGGAAAGGCCCUGCUUUUGUGGGGUGCUCGAGUGGCGAACGGGUGAGUAACACGUGAGUAACCUGCCCUUGACUUUGGGAUAACUUCAGGCAACUGCGGCUAAUACCGGCUAGGAGCUCCUGCUGCAUGGUGGGGGUUGGAAAGUUUCGGCGGAUGGGGAUGGACGCGCGGCUUAUCAGCUUGUUGGUGGGGUAGUGGCUUACCAAGGCUUUGACGGGUAGCCGGCCUGGGAGGGUGACCGGCCACAUGGGUACUGAGAGACGGCGCAGACGCCAACGGGAGGCAGCAGUGGGGAAUAUUGCACAAUGGGCGGAAGCCUGAUGCAGCAACGCCGCGUGCGGGAUGACGGCCUUCGGGUUGUAAACCGCUGUCGCCUGUGACGAAGCUUGAGUGACGGUAAUGGGUAAAGAAGCACCGGCUAACUACGUG
rnacentral:rRNA from 1 species